GUCAUAAACUUACGAGAGAGGGUGCUGGAAAUAAUCCAUGGACAUCUUGUUCUUAUUAGACAUGGGCUAAGUCAUUCUGACAGAUUUCAAACCUGCUGAAAUAUUGUUCAUUAAAAUCUUGAUGUUGAUUUCAGCAUUAUUGGGAGCACAUUUUGCUUAUAUCUUUAAGCAUGACUAUCAAAAAGAGACAAUACAAGUAUAUAUGAUGAAAAACAAUGUGAGAAAAGAGUCAGAGAGCUGACAGUGAGAAAAAGAGACACACUGGGAAAUCAGCAGAGAAAAAAAAUCCCAAGUUUUGUAGUUAUGUCUGUUUAGGACUGAGCCUGUGCCAAACCUUGGACUUGGAGGCUGUUCUGUCCUUAAUACAUUGCACAUGAUUGUCUGUAGCUAGAAAAACAUUUUUCGUGGUUUAAAAAAAAUUGAAUUAUCCUUAAAUGAAAUAACAUAAACUAUGAGUUUAAAUGACAGAGUAAAAAGAAAUUAAAUUCAUUUUGUAAGUGCUCAGGGAAUUUAAAAAUCCCUUAGGUUCACAAAACCUCAAAAUCCAUAAGGUUCAUGUAUUCCCAGAGUAGGACACCCAAUGAAGUUAAUGAAAUUUAAUUAAGUUUUCAUGACUUUUUCUAUUUAGCUAACAGAUUCUCCUUUCAAGACAUGUUUGUGUUAAGGACAAGAUCAAAAAUAUCCAUUGACAGUUCCUGUGCAAUCUAGAUAGAUGUUAGCUAAGAAGAGAGGUUAUAAAACCUGGGUAACUUUCAAAGGUACAAGAUCAUGUGCAGUUGAGUAUUACUACGAAUGUUUAUUUCAGCAGCUAUAUUGUUCCAUGCUCAUUUGCUUUUAGGAUCUGAAUUUUUGUCCAUUGGAAGGAUUUAUUGUGUCUAAGCUCCAGAGAGGGUGAUCUUUAUGGUAUUCCUUGUAAUAAAAUUAUCUCCUGCUGGCUGCCUACCUUGGACUGCUUCUGAGCACAGUGGAGCUGUCUCUAAGUGCUACCCUCAAAAGGCUGGUGGCACUCAAACCUGCAGCUGCCAUGUGUCCUCUGGCUGUACUAGACAGAGCAAAUCACUCUAACUGCACCUCAGGGAUGCCAUAGAAGCUGGAGCUGUGUGGGUGCUGGUCCCUGUGCCACUGACGUCCUGUGUGGUGCUUGUCAGAGGGAACUUUUCAGAUGGAACUCGUCUUUAGAUCUGUGUAAUGAAGUGCAUUAAUGUAGCCUGGAAAUGGAGCUCGUUUCUCCUGGGAGGCUCUGGUACAUUUGGAAGGAUACUGUGCUCCUUUACUGGUGUGUUGCUUCUCUGCCCAGCUGAGACCAGAGUGAGAGUGGCAAUGAUGAUGGCAGGGAGACAAUUUGAGGUGUAUAACCUCACAUUGGAGCUCCUCCUUCUGUGUGUGCAAAGGAACAGGGGCUAAAAUUCAUUUCUCAUUGGAGUAAACUAAGAAGGUCACAUCAUUGGAUGGAACAGAAUCCCAUGUCAGCAAUGUAUUACCUGCCUUGGUGUGUGUGGAGUAAAGGCAAUGGAUUUCCUUGCUAUGGGGUUAACACCCUACAAAGUGGGCAGAUUAGGAUUAAAGGAUUCUCCUCCAGCCAGAUCAUACUGAGGAAAUGAAAUACAUUGUUCUGGAGGAAUAUAUUUGUCCUUGGAAAUCCAGGUCUGCAGUAAAAGCAGUUGAAGGUAACCAAGAGAAAACUGAUCAUGAGACUGUACUGAGAGGAUGGUCUUUCUCUUGGCUAUAUGCUCCCACUGGACAUCUUCAAGGAAUUGAAUGCUCAGAAAACUAUCAGAACCACAACAACAAAAGCUAAGUGAUUUCAAUUUUCUUGGGGUAUAGCUUUCCCAUAUUUGCAAUCUGCAUGAAUAAUUGAGCCAGUAUAAGAGGCAGGGCAGGGACUUGCUCUUUUGGCAGCUGCUCAACUCCACUUGGCUCAGCCCUGAUGAGAAGCAGAAGUCACAUUUGCUAGUAGGAUCUGGCUGCCAUUUAAUAUCUGUUGGUAUGUUAGGGAUCUGACUCGUGUUUUCUUGACAAGCAGCUAAAAUGGGUUAAAGUAUGUUACUCCCUCAGGCACACAUCAGCUCUUUUGCAGCUGGGGUCAGGACGCCACGGUUUCGCUGGCAUGCUGCAGGCACAGUAUGCUCUGCUCCUGGACAACAACCUGUGGCAGUGGGGAGGAGUGAAGGCCUAGAGGGGAAACACCUCCAGGUGUCACAGACAGAUUUGCAAAAGCUUAUCUCCCAAAACCCUCUGUGGGGUCAGGGACUUGGCAUGUCACCAAGCGGGGCAGUGAUGUGGGGCAAGGGGCCCAGGCUUUAAGCACCAGGGUUGCUGUCAGCAGCUGCCUCAUGGCAGCUCCAAGAGCACUGCAAGGACCCUGCCCUGGCUUUGCGGGCUGCUUAACUUCUGUAUCUCAUUUUGCCCAGCAGUGUAAUGUGAAUGGAUAAGUGCACUGGGUCCCUUUCAGGCUCACAAUUCAAGAGGAGUCUUUUUUCUUUGGCUAUCACUUCUAUCUUCCUAUCUCCUCCCCAGCAGCCACUUCUCCAAGAAGUAAUAACUCAGAUCUUUUAGUUCCUUAUCCUAGCCAAAUGCUUUGAUCAAUUUAGUAACUCUCUAAACAUUUUCAAACAUGUUUCUAGUCUUUCCACCUUGAAUGAGCCUCUCAGAAAAAUGUAAACCAUUUUUUGCUUUCAGCAGAUUAUUUCUUGCUCUUCAGCUCUUCUGUGGUUUUCUUUUCUUUCUUUACUUUUUUUUUUCUUUUAAAAAUACUUACACAAUUUUACAUAAAAACUAGACUGACAUUUUAUUUCUGGCACAGGACCCAAUCAAAUCCCCACUACAGUUUCUGUUGGGUUUAGAGCAACAAUCUCUGUUUGAAAACUUAUAAUGCUCCUUACUUAGGAUAACUGCUGAUACACUCUCCCUCAGUGCUUCUCUUGUCAUUUGUAGAUGGCCACAAGUGUGAGACUAUUUUGCCUACCUGAGCUCCUAGAGCAGCACUAUGAGUCUGGAAAGAAAAUUGAUGUUGUUGUGACUGCUGGUCAAUAUCUGCUACUGCUUGUGUCCACUUGCAGUUUGGACUCCAGCAGCCAUCAUACUGGUUGUUAUUAAUGCUCCAGUCUGUUCUCAGACCUGGUUCCGUUGCAAAACACAUACAAGAAGAAAUAUGCAAGGAACAUUUAGCUCUGUUAAAAUAGACCUGCUGUUUUACUGCUACAUUUCUUUUUCUUCUCUACUGGUUUCCCUCUCCUUCAUCCUCUUAGUGUAGCAUAUUUGUGGGUGCACACAGUAGUUCAUUGCAAAAUAUGCUGGAUUUAAAGCAAAACAGAGAAAAGCUCCCUGAACCGAAAUUGCUAUUUUAAAGCUGCAGCAUUAACUUUGGCCAUGAUCCACCCUGGAGACUUUCCCUGGCAGAGAGUGUGAUGCACACAUCUCAGUUUGGAAUUGCUCUUUCGGACACAGAUCCCCGCAAGAAUAGCAGGAACAUGAUAGGCCAAGUCAGGCUAGGCAGCAAAGCCCACUGCAGUCCAGUGAAGACAAUCUGUCCAUUCACCUCUUAUGGACUUUUCCGGGGCUGUCUGCAUGUAAGGGGGCGGGGAAGAGAAGGGGACAAGAGGACAGAAAUGUAGUUGGGGUUUUAAAUUGUUCUGUUUCUGAAGGAUUCAAGUCAUGGAUGUGAAACAGUUCAAGCUUCCAUUGUGGACAAUUAUUAUCUUUCACAUGUUCUUUAUGCUGUGCUUCACUAAAAACUUGUUUCAUUGUUGGACUGUGUUGAACUUUACUGGAAAAAUUCCUGCUCUUCAUUUUCUGGCCUGAUCCAGCUGACUUCUAAGCUAAAAGAAAUUUGCUAGAUUUAGAAGUACUGCCAGUACUUGGUAUUCUGCCAGCCACGUGCAUUUUGAGGAAUCCUUGGAGACGCCAGGUAAUAACUAGUACAGGUGGAGUGGUCCCAGGGGCUUCCCAAAGAGGAGCUGCUGGCACAGCCCCAAGUGACCAGUAAUUCAUACAAUCCAUGGUGUGUUGGCUGCCUCCAUCUCAUGGGAUUGUGUCUGCUCUCUCACUGGCAAGCUGAAACUUUUCAUGAAGACUUGAAUGAGUCCCUUGGGGAUUGGACCUUUCUGAAAAUAUAU